rnacentral:rRNA from 1 species
UACGUAGGUGGCAAGCGUUGUCCGGAAUUAUUGGGCGUAAAGCGCGCGCAGGCGGUCCUUUAAGUCUGAUGUGAAAUCCCACGGCUUAACCGUGGAACUGCUUGGUAUACUGGCGAUCUUGAGCCACUUAGGGGCAACCGGAACAAACGGUGGAGCGGUGAAAUGCGUAGAUAUCGUUUGGAACGCCAAUGGUGAAAACAGGUUGCUGGGAGUGUGCUGACGCUGAGACACGAAAGCCAGGGGAGCGAACGGG